rnacentral:lncRNA from 1 species
UUUUUCCUUUCAAAUCACUUAGCUCAUUUUUCUAAUCCAAUGCAGGGUCCAAAAGGAGAGAAGGGUGACCCAGGACCUCAGGUGAGAUUGUGUGGAUCACAUGUUAAACAUAUGUUAAAAGUAGUAGUGAAUGUCUUUUCCAUCUUUAAUGUUUUUUGAAACAGGGUGUACCAGGACAGGACGGGAACAGUAUCGUGGGCCCACCUGGACCACCAGGACCACCAGGACCAAUCAUAGCUAUACCUGAGCUACUACUCAAUGAUACAGAUGGAAUUUUAAACUUUACUGGAAUUAAAGGACUUCUUGGGCCUCCAGGGCCAGAUGGCAAGCCAGGUCUACCAGGAUUUCCUGUAAGUAUUUUGUUCCUUGGACUUAAGAAGGUAUUUUUCAAUA